CAAAAGGCUUCUUGUCACGAAGCCACAUAUAUUAAAAACAGAGGUAUUU
rfam:Eurypyga helias contig100584, whole genome shotgun sequence.